CCUCUACUCUAACAUGGAGGCACUUGCUGUGACACACUAAAAUAAGUGCUUCCAUGUUUGGGUGUGG
rnacentral:pre_miRNA from 1 species